GGUUCGAUGGUGUAGUUGGUUUAUCACUUCUGUCUAACACUUUGUGUGGAACACAGGCGGUCCUCGGUUCGAGCCCGGGUCGAAUCA